UGGAGAAGGAUGUGGAAUUGCACAGACAACCAGGAUGUUGGCUCAGAAGCAGCCAUUCAUUUAAAGAGUGCGUAAUAGCUCACUGGUCGAGUGAUUGUGCGCCGAAGAUUCAACGGGGCUAAAACCAUCCGCCGAAGCUUCGGGAUCAUCGAAAGAUGAUCGGUAGAGGAGCAUUGUAUAAGCGCAGAAGCUGGAGCGAAAGCACCAGUGGAGUUUAUAGAAGAGAGAAUGCCGGUAUGAGUAACGAGAUGUAAGCGAGAAACUUACACGUCGAAAGCCCAAGGAUUCCUGGGGAAGGUUCAUCCGCCCAGGGUAAGUCGGGGCCUAAGCCGAGGACGAUAGUCGUAGGCGAUGGAAAACAGGUUGAGAUUCCUGUACCGCCCAUAUGAGUGAUGCAUUGACACAGAAGGAUAGCAUGAGCCGGUUGAUGGUAGAGCCGGUCGAAGAGCGUAGGCUGCUUGGUAGUGAAGUACGCUAGGCAUAAGGCUGAAACUUGAUAGGGAGCGAAAAUAAGUAGCGAAGCAUGCGAAUCCCCGCUGGCGAGAAAAGAUGCUGGCAAUGAUAUGGGCGCCCGUACCGCAAACCGACGCAGGUGGGCGAGGAGAGAAUCCUAAGACGAACGAGAGAACCCUUGUUAAGGAACUCGGCAAAAUGACCCCGUAACUUCGGGAGAAGGGGUGCCUCGAAAGAGGCCGCAGAGAAUAGGCCCAAGCGACUGUUUAGCAAAAACACAGGUUUGUGCGAAAGCGAGAGCUGACGUAUACGAGCUGACGCCUGCCCGGUGCUGGAAGGUUAAGAGGAGUUGUCAUCGCAAGAGAAGCAGCGAAUUGAAGCCCCAGUAAACGGCGGCCGUAACUAUAACGGUCCUAAGGUAGCGAAAUUCCUUGUCGGGUAAGUUCCGACCCGCACGAAUGGCGUAACGACUUGGGCGCUGUCUCAACAAGGGACUCGGUGAAAUUGAAGUAUGGGUGAAGAUGCCCAUUACCCGCGACUGGACGGAAAGACCCCGUAGAGCUUUACUGUAGCUUAUCAUUGGAAUUUGGUAACGGAUGUACAGGAUAGGUGGGACGCAGAGAAGUGUAGACGUCAGUUUGCAUGGAGCGGCCGUUGGGAUACCACUCUUCUGUUACUGAAUUUCUAACAACGUGCAAUGAGCUUGGCGAUGGACAGUGAUAGGUGGGCAGUUUGACUGGGGCGGUCGCCUCCCAAAGAGUAACGGAGGCGCCCAAAGGUUCCCUCAGAAUGGAUGGAAAUCAUUCGCAGAGUGCAAAGGCAGAAGGGAGCCUGACUGCGAGACGGACAGGUCGAGCAGAGAGGAAACUCGGGCUUAGUGAUCAGGCGGUAUCGAGUGGAAGAGCCGUCGCUCAACGGAUAAAAGCUACCUCGGGGAUAACAGGCUGAUCUCCCCCAA
rnacentral:rRNA from 1 species